rnacentral:rRNA from 1 species
AUGAUGGACAACCUAAGGCCUACUCGUCUGGAGGCAACUGAUGUGGCAAACACGGUGCUGGACGGUGAUGCCAUUCUCCUUGUUGCUGAGACUAUCCGUGGGUUGUAUCUAGUUGAGACUAUUUCAACGCUAUGCAGAAUUUGUGCUAAGGCUGAGAAUGUCUUCAACCAGGAUUUGUACUUCAAGCGAACCAUGAAAUAUGUGGGAGAACCCAUGACCCACAUGGAGUAUACUGCUUCUCUGCAGUGCGUAUUUUGUUUCUUUUAA